rnacentral:rRNA from 1 species
UACGAAGGGGGCUAGCGUUGCUCGGAAUCACUGGGCGUAAAGCGCACGUAGGCGGCUUCUUAAGUCAGGGGUGAAAUCCUGGAGCUCAACUCCAGAACUGCCUUUGAUACUGAGGAGCUUGAGUCCGGGAGAGGUGAGUGGAACUGCGAGUGUAGAGGUGAAUUCGUAGAUAUUCGCAAGAACACCAGUGGCGAAGGCGGCUCACUGGCCCGGUACUGACGCUGAGGUGCGAAAGCGUGGGGAGCAAACAGG